CCUACGGGUGGCAGCAGUGGGGAAUAUUGCUCAAUGGGGGAAACCCUGAUGCAGCGACGCCGCGUGAGUGAAGAAGUAUCUCGGUACGUAAAGCUCUAUCAGCAGGGAAGAAAAUGACGGUACCUGACUAAGAAGCCCCGGCUAACUACGUUCCAGCAGCCGCGGUAAUACGUAGGGGGCACGCGUUAUCCGGAUUUACUGGGUGUAAAGGGAGCGUAGACGGCAGCACAAGUCUGGAGUGAAAUCCCGGGGCUUAACCCCGGAACUGCUUUGGAAACUGGGCGGCUGGAGUGCAGGAGGGGUAGGCGGAAGUCCGAGUGUAGCGGUGAAAUGCGUAGAUAUUAGGAGGAACACCGGUGGCGAAGGCGGCUUACUGGACUGUAACUGACGUUGAGGCUCGAAAGCGUGGGGAGCAAACAGGAUUAGAUACCCUUGUAGUC
rnacentral:rRNA from 1 species